UCUUUUUAUAGAAGUAAAAUGAGUUUAUUUUAGUUGUUAAUAAACUAGUAAUCAUUUUAAGUAAAUAGGAACUAACUAAGCUUGGCUCUGACUUAAUAGUAUAGUGAGAACAUAGUAAUACACAUGGUUUUUAUAGAAAGAGGUGAGGUAAGAAUAAGUAUAAUUUGGGUAAACUACUUAAAAUUAAUAUUAUUUCUUAAAGUAUUAUAGAUAUAGAAAAUGCUUUGAAAAGUCCCACUAACACCAGUGCUGAAGGUUAAUUAAAAGGUGAAAACCUGAAUUAACUUUGUACAUUAGAUCAGGUUAACUUGGUGCCAGCAUCCGCGGUUACACCAAGUGAUUAAGUUAUACUUUUAGGUAAAAAGACAGUUAGGUUAUAAGUAAAUUUAGUCUAUUAACCACCUAUAUAAAAGUAAAAUUUGUAUAUAAGUAGCUAAUCUAGAAAUGGCUAAAAAUAAUGCUGAAGCUGUGACAGUUUUGAGGGAAACUGGGAUUAGAUACCCCAUUAUUCUUGACUGUAAAUAUAAUUAAAUUUACCAGAGUACUAUGAAUAGUUAAAAAUUUAAAACUCAAAGGGCUUGGCGGUGUUUUAGACCUAUCAGGGGAACCUGUCUCGUAAUCGACAAUCCACGUUAUAUCUGACCUCAUUUUGUACCCAGUUUGUAUACCGUCGUCGUCAGGUAACUUUUAAAAAUAUAGAAGUUAGCAAUAAAAAUGCUAUAAAUUAAGACGUCAGAUCAAGGUGCAGCCUAUAGUGAGGAGAAGAUGGGUUACAAUUAUUAAAUUUGUAAUUACGAAAAUUUAGGUGAAAUUCUAUUUAGAAGGAGGACUUGAAAGUAAACUAAAAUAUAUAAAUAGUUUGAAUUAGGCUCUGAAACGUGCACACAUCGCCCGUCGCUCUCGUUGAAAAAUGAGAUAAGUCGUAACAUAGCAGGGGUAAUGGAAAUUGUCCCUAGAUG
rnacentral:ncRNA from 1 species